ACGAAUUCCAUUUUGAUAUGGGAAGGAAACAAGUAGCUAUUGGAUCAUGAGACUCAUUUUGUUUUCACAUGAUGAUAGCUUUGUAAGAAAACAAUCUCAAGACCUAGAAAAUCAUGGCUCGACUCUUUGUAGUUUGGAGUGAUGGGGGGAGAGAGAGAGAGAGAGAGAGAGAGAGAGAGAGAGAGAGAGAGAGAGAGAGAGCAACAACACCAAGUUACAUUGGCACUUCUUGUUGUGUGCUUUGGGGGAUGUCUCAUUACUUUAACACUCUGAGCAUGGUGAAAGCCAUGCAAUUAUUUCCUCCAGGAUAAUGGCAGACAUGUUUUCCUGUCUGGUUCAAUGAUGUCAAGCACACAUCAGGAAAGGUUCAUGUACUUGGAGCCCUUCUAAAUGUUUCCCUGUAAUUUGAAGCUAGCUGGAAGGGAAGAGCCCUGAUGACUUUCUGGAUCUAUGUUGAGCCCAGUUUGGGAGAAUGGAGAUUUCCAGGAAGAGCUGAGCUAUAUUUUGUGGUAGCUGGGAGUGGCGCCACCAACACAAGCAAAAAUUAACCUUACUAUCUUAUCAGGACGGACAUUCUACCAUGCAGAACAAUUUUAUUUGAAGCUCACCAUAACACUGGCCAGUGGGCAGUAUCACUGUGACAGUCUAGUCCAUAAUGACGAUCGUGGUAAAGUGAUGGCCAUUUUAGCAAGGGUUCUUUGACUUUAUGAUACGUGGAUGUAUUCUGAAUUCUAGUUGAUGAGUUCUUGACAACAUAGGCUCUUUAAAAAUUACGGUUUUGUUGGACGUGGAAAAAAAUAGUGCUGAUUUUGUGUAAAUGAUACACAGAGUGUAGUCAUUUUAGAAAACCUUCCGGAAUGUUCCUCAGAAUAUGAAUUUAUAUGAGAGAUGAAAACGGAGACUAGGAAUAACAGAUUAUCACUUGCUGUUUAAACUACAUGAAAUAAUAUGAUGGCCUUUUAAGAGGCCAUGACUGAAGGCAUAUACAUCCUCAGAUAGUACUCAAGAAAUGGCGAUCAAUGAGUAUUUGAGCUAACUUAAUACCAAUCAGGAUACAGAAUCAGUCUCUGGCCAAAUUUUUAUCAGUAUGUGGGCCGUUUAAGAAAACAACAACAUCAAAUGAAACAAAAAUUUGUUAAAGGUUAGAUCAUGGUCCUGGAACCCUUGUGAUUAUUUGAGAAGGAAAGAAGGGUCCUCAAGUGUGUGUGUGUCCAUCCACAAGCACAGGAAUGGCUUGUUUGGUCCUUAUUCUUUGUAUCAAAGUUGCUGCUCCUUCCCCCUUUUUGUGCCUUGGUGGCUAUAUCCCAUGUGUCAACGGUGUCGGAUCAAAUGUGCCACAGCACUGCAGAAAAGAGACACACAAAGCCCACCCAAAGCACAGUGACAUUUUCCCUACAAGAGCCGAGUAGCAUCAUGUACAGACUAUGCCUUUUUUUGUGUGGGGGGAGGGGAAGGGAAGGAAGGGGCUGAAAUUGUUCUGCAUGUAUAAUACAGGCUAAUUACUUGUUUAUAUUAAAAUUUGGAAUAAAUUAUCUUGAGACCUUUU
rnacentral:lncRNA from 1 species